rnacentral:rRNA from 1 species
UACGUAGGGUGCGAGCGUUGUCCGGAAUUAUUGGGCGUAAAGGGCUCGUAGGCGGUUUGUCGCGUCGAAUGUGAAAACCCGGGGCUCAACCCCGGGCCUGCAUUCGAUACGGGCAGACUAGAGUUCGGUAGGGGAGUCUGGAAUUCCUGGUGUAGCGGUGAAAUGCGCAGAUAUCAGGAGGAACACCGGUGGCGAAGGCGGGACUCUGGGCCGAUACUGACGCUGAGGAGCGAAAGCGUGGGGAGCGAACAGG